rnacentral:rRNA from 1 species
CAGCCGUAAACUAUGCGCGUUAGGUGUACUGGUGACCACGAGUCACCGGGGUGCCGAAGGGAAACCGUGAAACGUGCCGCCUGGGAAGUACGGUCGCAAGGCUGAAACUUAAAGGAAUUGGCGGGGGGAGGCACCGCAACGGGAGGAGCGUGCGGUUUAAUUGGAUUCAACACCGGAAAACUCACCAAGGGCGACUGUUACAUGAAAGCCAGGCUAAUGACCUUGCUUGAUUUUCAGAGAGGUGGUGCAUGGCGUCAGUGACU